rnacentral:lncRNA from 1 species
GUUCAAUGUGUGAAAUAAUAAAGACACAAGGAAAAAAAGACUGGGAGGAUAUAUAUGUAAAUCUUAAAACUGGUUAUAUUUGGCUGAUGGAAUUAUGGGUGAGUUUUGUUGUCUCUCUAGAUUUUCUAGACUUUCCGCAUUUGACACAAAUUGCUUUUGCAAAAAUUCUGAAUUUUUGAGCUCUCUCUGAAAGUAGGGUCUUGAUGUGAACUUGAUUGCUUUUGUCCUGUCAGUGAUCAUGGAUUGCUUUGGAGCUGUCAAACACAUUUAGAGAUGACAGGUGAAGAGAAAUGUGUUGUCAUGUAGCCGUAGAACUCAUAAUAGACUGGAAACCAGAAGGCCUGGGUCCCAGUCUCAACAUUGUUCAUUAUUAUUUGGGUAACAUUAGGCAAGACUUGAACUUCCCUCUAAAGCCAGGAGGGUCAUACUUGCCUUUAUUAUCCCUGCAGGGUCAUUAUGAGGACAAAGUAACCUAAUGAAUGAGAAACAUUGUAAAUACAAAAAAAAAAAAAAAAAAAAAAAGGCAUUGUUAUGAGGCAUUUUAGCAUUCCUUAUGUGAUUACGGACUAAUUCAUCUCUUAGGUAUCUGCUUUCCAAUUUCCAGCCUUACCUUCUCUGUCCUAUCAUCUUAAUUGCUUAAUUUCUAAUCACUUAUUUAUUCUUUUCAGCUUUCUGUUUUUCGCGUGCAUUGUGCUACUCAGCUGAAAACAGUAUUAUGAAAGAGAAGUACUUCAAAAGACAACACUUUACUCAACCCAGAAGACUUGCUAUAAGUUCUCAAAUAGUAGCUGCCACUUCCAGCUGGGGGAGAAAUGAGAGCUCUGUUUGUGGCGAUCCAGUAUCUCCAGAGUCCAUCACCACUGCUGACCUCCCACUCUACAUCCCCAAGCGCUCUGCUGUACCUGCCACGAGCAGCUGUCACCUGCAGACUUUGGAAGGUUAUAACCAAACCUCUGUUUUCUGACCUGCCUUCUGCUUCAACAUCUUGACUUCCCACAAACAAUUCUAAUAAAAAGCAAUUAACCUGAAAGUGUGUCGCAAUUUUAAUGUAUGAGAUAUGGUUUCUCUCAAAAGCUGCACUGCUCUUGUGUCCUUACAAG